AACGAACGCUGGCGGCAGGCUUAACACAUGCAAGUCGAACGCCCCGCAAGGGGAGUGGCAGACGGGUGAGUAACGCGUGGGAAUCUACCCAGUUCUACGGAACAACACAGGGAAACUUGUGCUAAUACCGUAUACGCCCUACGGGGGAAAGAUUUAUCGGAAUUGGAUGAGCCCGCGUAAGAUUAGCUAGUUGGUGGGGUAAUGGCCUACCAAGGCGACGAUCUUUAGCUGGUCUGAGAGGAUGAUCAGCCACACUGGGACUGAGACACGGCCCAGACUCCUACGGGAGGCAGCAGUGGGGAAUAUUGGACAAUGGGCGCAAGCCUGAUCCAGCCAUGCCGCGUGAGUGAUGAAGGCCUUAGGGUUGUAAAGCUCUUUCAGUGGGGACGAUAAUGACGGUACCCACAGAAGAAGCCCCGGCUAACUUCGUGCCAGCAGCCGCGGUAAUACGAAGGGGGCUAGCGUUGUUCGGAUUUACUGGGCGUAAAGCGCACGUAGGCGGAUCGUUAAGUCGGGGGUGAAAUCCUGGAGCUCAACUCCAGAACUGCCUUCGAUACUGGCGAUCUUGAGUCCGGAAGAGGUGAGUGGAACUCCUAGUGUAGAGGUGGAAUUCGUAGAUAUUAGGAAGAACACCAGUGGCGAAGGCGGCUCACUGGUCCGGUACUGACGCUGAGGUGCGAAAGCGUGGGGAGCAAACAGG
rnacentral:rRNA from 1 species